rnacentral:rRNA from 1 species
AACGAACGCUGGCGGCAGGCUUAACACAUGCAAGUCGAACGGGUGUAGCAAUACAUCAGUGGCAGACGGGUGAGUAACACGUGGGAACCUUCCUAGGGGUACGGAACAACUCAGGGAAACUUGAGCUAAUACCGUAUACGUCCGUGAGGAGAAAGAUUUAUCGCCCUUAGACGGGCCCGCGUCGGAUUAGCUAGUUGGUGGGGUAACGGCCUACCAAGGCGACGAUCCGUAGCUGAUCUUAGAGGAUGAUCAGCCACACUGGGCCUGGGACACGGCCCAGACUCCUACGGGAGGCAGCAGUGGGGAAUCUUGGACAAUGGGCGCAAGCCUGAACCAGCCAUGCCGCGUGAGUGAAGAAGUUCUUCGGAUUGUAAAGCUCUUUUGCCAGGGACGAUAAUGACGGUACCUGGAGAAUAAGCCCCGGCAAACUUCGUGCCAGCAGCCGCCGUAAUAC